rnacentral:rRNA from 1 species
GAUGAACGCUGGCGGCGUGCCUAAUACAUGCAAGUCGAGCGCAGGGACGAGGUACUUGCUUCUCUGAUGUUAGCGGCGGACGGGUGAGUAACACGUGGAUAACCUGCCUAUAAGACUGGGAUAACUUCUGGAAACCAAAGCUAAUACCGCAUAAUAUUUUUAACCACAUGGUUCAAAAGUGAAAGACGCUCUUGCUGUCCCUUAUGAAUAUCUCCGCGCUGCAUUAGCUGGUUGUUAAGUAAACGCCUUACAAAGGCAACGUAGAAUAGCCGCCCGGAGAGGGUGAUCGGCACAACGGGAAUUGAGAAACGGCCCAGACUCAAAGGGGAGGCAGAAGUAGGGAAUCUUCCGAAAUGGGCGAAGGCUGGACGGAGCAACGCCGCUGGGUGGAUGAAGGUUUUCGGAUGGUAAAACUCUGUUAUAAGGGAAGAAGAUAGGUGGAAGGAAAUGUGCACAAAUUGACGGUACCUAAUCAGAAAGCGACGGCUAACUACGUG